rnacentral:other from 1 species
GAGGAACUACUGUCUUCACGCAGAAAGCGUCUAGCCAUGGCGUUAGUAUGAGUGUCGUACAGCCUCCAGGCCCCCCCCUCCCGGGAGAGCCAUAGUGGUCUGCGGAACCGGUGAGUACACCGGAAUUGCCGGGAAGACUGGGUCCUUUCUUGGAUAAACCCACUCUAUGCCCGGCCAUUUGGGCGUGCCCCCGCAAGACUGCUAGCCGAGUAGCGUUGGGUUGCGAAAGGCCUUGUGGUACUGCCUGAUAGGGUGCUUGCGAGUGCCCCGGGAGGU